rnacentral:rRNA from 1 species
GACGAACGCUGGCGGCGUGCUUAACACAUGCAAGUCGAACGAUGAAGCCUUAGCUUGCUUUGGUGGAUUAGUGGCGAACGGGUGAGUAACACGUGAGCAACGUGCCCAGGACUCUGGAAUAACCGCGGGAAACCGUGGCUAAUACCGGAUAGGUGCCGAGGCCGCAUGGUCUUCGGUUGGAAAGUUUUUGCGGUUCUGGAUCGGCUCACGGCCUAUCAGCUUGUUGGUGGGGUAAUGGCCUACCAAGGCGACGACGGGUAGCCGGCCUGAGAGGGUGACCGGCCCCCCUGGGACUGAGACACGGACCAGACGCCAACGGGAGGCAGCAGUGGGGAAUAUUGCACAAUGGGCGCAAGCCUGAUGCAGCAACGCCGCGUGGGGGAUGACGGCCUUCGGGUUGUAAACCUCUUUUAGUAGGGAAGAAGCGCAAGUGACGGUACCUGAAGAAAAAGCACCGGCUAACUACGUG